CGCGGCCUAUCAGCUUGUUGGUGGGGUAAUGGCCUACCAAGGCGGCGACGGGUAGCCGGCCUGAGAGGGUGUACGGCCACAUUGGGACUGAGAUGCGGCCCAGACUCCUACGGGAGGCAGCAGUGGGGAAUAUUGCACAAUGGGCGCAAGCCUGAUGCAGCGACGCCGCGUGGGGGAUGAAGGCCUUCGGGUUGUAAACUCCUUUCGCUAGGGACGAAGCUUUUUGUGACGGUACCUAGAUAAGAAGCACCGGCUAACUACGUGCCAGCAGCCGCGGUAAUACGUAGGGUGCGAGCGUUGUCCGGAAUUACUGGGCGUAAAGGGCUCGGAGGUGGUUUGUCGCGUCGUCUGUGAAAUUCUGGGGCUUAACUCCGGGCGUGCAGGCGAUAUGGGCAUAACUUGAGUGCUGUAGGGGUAACUGGAAUUCCUGGUGUAGCGGUGAAAUGCGCAGAUAUCAGGAGGAACACCGAUGGCGAAGGCAGGUUACUGGGCAGUUACUGACGCUGAGGAGCGAAAGCAUAGGUAGCGAACAGGAUUAGAUACCCUGGUAGUCCAUGCCGUAAACGGUGGGCGCUAGGUGUGAGGGUCUUUCUACGACUUUCGUGCCGUAGCUAACGCAUUAAGCGCCCCGCCUGGGGAGUACGG
rnacentral:rRNA from 1 species